GAUGAAGAACGUAGCGAAAUGCGAUAAGUAAUGUGAAUUGCAGAAUUCAGUGAAUCAUCGAAUCUUUGAACGCACCUUGCGCCCCUUGGCUAUUCCAAAGGGCAUGCCUGUUUGAGUAUCAUGAACACCUCAACUCUUGUGGUUUCCCACAAUGAGCUUGGACUGUGGAGGUUUUGUUGGCCCUGUGGUCAGCGCCUCUCAAAUGGAUCAGCUUACCGGUGUUUGGUGGCAUUACGGGUGUGAUAACUAUCUACGCUCGUGGUCGUCUCCAAAUAACCUCCAGUGAUGGAGGUUCGCUGGAGCUUAUAAAUGUCUCUCCCCAGUGAAGACAGCCUUUGAACGUUCGAUCUCAAAUCAGGUAGGACUACCCGCUGAACUUAAGCAUAUCAAUAAGCGGAGGA
rnacentral:misc_RNA from 1 species